CAGCAAUGGCGCCCUGCUUCCCUUGCGGGCCCAGGCUUCCUCCGGGGUCCCCUCGGCUGUGGCCUUUGGCUCCCCAGCCCCUCAGACUGUCCCCUCACAGCCUACCGCAGCCCUCUCCCCGGCACCGGCCUCCAGAGCCUGCGUCUCAGCACCCAGCCCCCGCCCGAGCAUCUCCGGCCGCGGCGGUGGUGCAGGUGGUAGAUGGUCUGUGCGGCUCCAGCGCUGCCUGGUUCUCCUCCGACCAGCUGCUGUGCUUUUCUCCACGACGUUGAGGUCCCUCCGUCUCCGCUGAUGUCCCGUCGGUCAGGUGGCCUCCCAGAAUGUGGUGUCUCAGUGGAUAUCGCCUCUGAGGGGGACAGACAGAUGGACAUGGAGGCCCUCCCAGAGGAAGACCCACAGGACGUGAUCUCUGUUCAGCAACACUGAGAUUCCCUGAUGGGGAGUGUGGAUUCAGAGUUCUCCUGCACCCUUGAGGAAUCCUUGUGAUAGCCCUGUGUGUAUAUCACCCUCCCCUGGUCUUGAGUGCAGAGCCAGAACUGGCCAUGUGGACUCCAGCGCUUAAGGGCCCCUUAAGGAAGAUGCGGCGUCCCACUCGUGUCCCCCACAGCAGCAGCAUCUUGGAGCUCCCCAAAGACUCAAGAAUAGAGAAGCCUUGUCACCUGUCAAGAAAUUCUGGGAUGCAUCGCAUCCCUCAACCGAUUCCUGGUUCCUUCUGUUUUUAUCCCCUCAUUUGCUUAUUUAACAGAUAUUCGCAGAAGUUGACUCUUCCUUUGCACCUGUGCUGAGGAGGGACAGAUCAGUAGGACACAGCUCCUGGUCUUAAGGAGUGCCUGGCCUCCUGAGAGAGGCAAACCUUAUGAUCGCUUGGACCCUUAGAAAGCAAAGAGGGGGUGAGCUACUGGAGCAGGGGAAGGAUGAUGUGGGCGACACAGGAAUACUCAUCCGGGUGCAUUUAAGGAGGACCCACAGGUACCCAACGCAAGGAGAAGUCAAGAAGACAUAGGAGUCAAACUGGGCGGGAGGGAGUUCCUGGUGGCAUUUUGCUCCAAUGCUCUAGGUUUUGUGUGAGCUGAAGCCUUCAGAGCAGCAAAAGGCGAACAAGAAAGAUUCUUUGUAAAGGAACCAAAUUGCAACUAUUUGACCAGAAGAAGGAUUUCUCUUGGGGAGGGGAAUGGUGCAGAGGGUGUUUGGGGGGGGUAUGGUUUCCCUCUAGUUUUGGUGAAUUUCACUUUUUAGUUAUGCAAUGAAAAGAAAUAGAAUACAAUAUAACGAGAUGGGAGUGGCAGGAGAGGAAUUGGAGUUGGUAUUAAAGUAGAUGCGAAUGAUUACAUUUGAGAUGGAUGAGCAGUGAGGUCCUACAGUACAGCACAGGGGACUCUGUCCAGUCUCUUGGGAGAGACUAUGAUGGAAGAUAAUAGGAGAAAAAGAAUUUGUGUGACUGGGGCACUCUGCUGCACAGCAGAAAUUGGCACAACACUGUAAUAAAAAACCAAAAAAAAUACAAAAAAAUUCAGUUCAGUUUUGGCACCAGGACGUAGAGAAGAAAGUUAAUGGCAGGGCCAGUGAAAUACAGCACAGUGGUUUGGAGUGGAGAGUAGGAGUAAGAGAGGGAAAUCGAGCAUGCGUGUUGAUUGAUGGAAAGAAAUAUGGGGAGCGCAUAAUGUGGAUGAUAUUGGGGAGUGACCAUCAGUGGGACAGGGUAGCAUUGAGAGCCCCGACUCGGGAAUAGAUGGGUUAACCUGGGUUCAGAUUUCUCCUUCUGUACCCACUUGCUGCACGGUCACGCACACACUUCAAAAUGAUUCUCUGAGCCAGAAGGACACUUGUCAUUGAUGGAGGAGGAAAUCCAAGCUCAUGCGAGCACGGGCUAAGAUGCAAUCUUUUCGGAAUUAGAGAAAUAAAGAUUCCAACAACGACAUGCCGUUGCUUCCCUUCCAUCUGCUAUGAUGGAAUUGCGGCCACCUCCAAACUCCUAUGUCAAAUGUCGCAACCCCCAGGACCUCAGAAUGGGGCCUUCUUUGGAAAUGAGGUCAUCGCAAGUGUGCUUACCCAGGAUGAAGACAUACUGGAGCAGGACGGCUUCUCACCCAGCAUGACUUGUGUCCUUAUUUAAAAACAAGGAAACGAUGGAGUUCCUGUUGUGGUGCAGCGGAAAUGAAUCUGACCGGAACCAUGAGGUUGCAGGUUCCAUCACUGUGUCCUCGCUCCGUGGGUUAAGGAUCUGGUGUUGCCGUGAGCCGUGGUGCAGGUCGGAGACGUGGCUUGGAUCCCGCGUUGCCGUGGCUAUGGCGUAGGCUGGCGGGGGCAGCUCUGAUUCUACCCCUAGCCUAGGAACCUCCAUAUGCCGCGGGGGAGGCCCUAAAAAGAAAAAAAAAAAAAUGUAAAAAAAGGAAAUUGUGACACAGACAUGCACAGAGGGACAGCACGGUGUGAACCUGAAGGUGGAGAUUGGAGUGGUGUAUCCAUGAGCCAAGGAGCCCCAAAGCCUGCCAGCCAGCCACCAGGACCCGGGAGAGAGAUGUGUGCCUGGUUUCCCCCCACAGUUCUCAGAAGGAACCUCCUGCCAGCACCCCGAUCUCAGACUUCCACCUUCCAGAACCAUGACACAGGACCCUUCCAUGUCCAGGCUACUCCGUUUGCCAUACUUUGUUAUGGCAGCCCUAGCCGGCUAGUCCAUCCUCGGGCUGGCAGAGGUUAGAAGGCUGGGGAGUCCCAUGUCUUGUGGGUGUUGGGGUGGUAUGGGGACCCUCUGGCACUGUUGUGGGGGGAAGAAACUGGUGCAGUGAAUCCUGGGUGCAAUUUGGUACUACGUAAAUUAAAGAUAUACC
rnacentral:lncRNA from 1 species